GAUGAACGCUGGCGGCGUGCCUAAUACAUGCAAGUCGAGCGAAUGGAUUAAGAGCUUGCUCUUAUGAAGUUAGCGGCGGACGGGUGAGUAACACGUGGGUAACCUGCCCAUAAGACUGGGAUAACUCCGGGAAACCGGGGCUAAUACCGGAUAACAUUUUGAACCGCAUGGUUCGAAAUUGAAAGGCGGCUUCGGCUGUCACUGAUGGAUGGACCCGCGUCGCAUUAGCUAGUUGGUGAGGUAACGGCUCACCAAGGCAACGAUGCGUAGCCGACCUGCGAGGGUGAUCGGCCACACUGGGACUGAGACACGGCCCAGACUCCUACGGGAGGCAGCAGUGGGGAAUAUUGCACAAUGGACGAAAGUCUGACGGAGCAACGCCGCGUGAGUGAUGAAGGCUUUCGGGUCGUAAAACUCUGUUGUUAGGGAAGAACAAGUGCUAGUUGAAUAAGCUGGCACCUUGACGGUACCUAACCAGAAAGCCACGGCUAACUACGUGCCAGCCGCCGCCGUAA
rnacentral:rRNA from 1 species